GACGAACCGUGCAAACGUUGUUCGGAAUCACUGGGCUUAAAGGGCGCGUAGGCGGGCUGCCAAGUUUGGGGUGAAAUCCUCCGGCUCAACCGGAGCAGUGCCUCGAAUACUGGCGGUCUCGAGGGAGGUAGGGGCGUGCGGAACUGUGGGUGGAGCGGUGAAAUGCGUUGAUAUCCACAGGAACUCCGGUGGCGAAGGCGGCACGCUGGACCUUUUCUGACGCUGAGGCGCGAAAGCCAGGGGAGCGAACGGG
rnacentral:rRNA from 1 species